UACGUAGGGUGCAAGCGUUGUCCGGAAUUAUUGGGCGUAAAGGGCUCGUAGGCGGUUUGUCACGUCAGGGGUGAAAACUCGGGGCUCAACCCCGAGCCUGCUUCUGAUACGGGCAGACUAGAGGUAUGCAGGGGAGAACGGAAUUCCUGGUGUAGCGGUGAAAUGCGCAGAUAUCAGGAGGAACACCGGUGGCGAAGGCGGUUCUCUGGGCAUUACCUGACGCUGAGGAGCGAAAGUGUGGGGAGCGAACAGG
rnacentral:rRNA from 1 species